rnacentral:ncRNA from 1 species
GAAAGCCGUAUGAGGGAAAACCUCACGUACGGUUUGAUGAGGAGGGGCUGGAUGCCCAGCCCUUCACUCUAC